AUGGAGGACAGCCAGGCUUUAGUUCAUGCGGAAGACAGUCAGGCUUUAGUUCAUGCGGAACACAGUCAGGCUUUAGUUCGUGCGGAAGACAGUCAGGCUUUAGUUUGUGCGGAAGACAGUCAUGCUUUAGUUCAGGCCGAGGAAAAUCAGGUUUUAGUUCAGGUGGAAGAUGGCGAUGUUCUAGUUGAGGGGGAUGAAGACCAGAUCUUAGUCGAGCCAGAGAAGGACCCUGUACCGUGUGAGCAAUUCCUUUUCAUCGGCCAAGAGUUUACCGAUGUUGACACUUGCCGGAGGGCAAUCAAGGAUAUGGCCGUUGCUCUGCAUUUCCAGCUGCGCGUCGUGAAAUCGGACCGUAGCCGAUUCAUUGCCAAAUGCAACACAGAAGGAUGCCCGUGGCGUGUGCAUGUGGCCAAGUGCCAUGGUGUUCCAACUUUCACGGUCCGGACAUUGCAAGGAGAGCACACAUGUGAGGGUGUUCAGGACCUACAUCAUCAACAGGCCACUGUUAACUGGGUGGCUAGGUCUGUUGAGGCAAGGCUAAGAGAUAAUCCGCAGAUUAAGCCAAAAGAGAUAUUGCAGGAUAUUCGGGACCAGCAUGGGGUUGCUGUGUCUUAUAUGCAGGCAUGGCGCGGAAAGGAGAGAAGCAUGGCUGCUGUUCAUGGUACCCUUGAGGAUGGAUAUCGCCUUCUUCCUGCAUACUGUGAGCAGAUUGGAAAGACAAAUCCUGGUAGUGUUGCAGUAUACAAAGGGGCUGGGCCGGAGAAUUCCUUCCAACGGCUCUUUGUUUCAUUUCAUUCAUCUAUUUAUGGUUUCUUAAAUGCGUGUAGACCCCUUUUGGAAAUUGACAAGGCGGAUCUAAAGGGCAAGUAUCUUGGGACAUUGCUAUGUGCUUCGGCUGUUGAUGCUGAUCACAUGAUGUUCCCUGUAGCAUUUGGUGUCGUUGAUUCUGAAAGUGAUGAGAACUGGAUGUGGUUUAUCUCAGAACUGAGGAAGAUGCUUGGUGUUAACACGGAUAAGAUGCCUGUCUUUACAAUAAUCUCUGAGAGACAACCACAGGUGGUUGAAGCUGUCGAGGUCAACUUCCCAACUGCUUUUCAUGGAUUUUGCUUGAGACAUGUGAGUGAGAAUUUCCGCGAGGAGUUCAAGAGUCCUAAACUUCUGAACCUUUUCUGGGGUGCCGUUUAUGCUCUCACAACAGCAGAAUUUGAUUCAAAGGUAAAAGAUAUGAUGCAAGUUCAAGAUGUCAUGCCAUGGUUCCAGAAUUUUCCACCAAACCUCUGGGCAGUUGCUUACUUUGAGGGUAUCAGAUAUGGCCAUUUUAGUCUUGCUAUAACUGAGAUAUUAUAUAACUGGGCCCUGGAGUGUCAUGAGCUUCCCAUUGUGCAAACUGUUGAAUACAUCAGGCACCAACUAACCUGCUGGUUUACUGAACGUCACAAUUUGGCAUUAUCCCUUAACUCAGUUCUUGUUCCAUCUGCUGAGAAACUUAUUUCUGAAUCCAUUUCUGAUUCAAGAUGUUAUCAAGUACUCCGAGCAAACAAGGUGGAGUUUGAGAUCGUGUCAUCUGAGCGAACAAACAUUGUGGAUACUCAAACCAGGUUCUGCUCGUGCCGUCGGUGGCAAAUUUAUGGUAUUCCAUGUGCACAUGCUGCUGCUGCACUACUUUCAUGUGGUGAAGAUCCUCGCCUACAGGAUCCACUGGAGCAAUUCGUCCUCUGGGCCGCGAGGUCUAUACAAAUCAGACAUGAUACUUCGCCCACCGAAGAUCCGAAGACCUCCUGGCCGUCCCAAAAUGAAGAUUCUCAAGAUGGAAAGCUUGAAACGGCCGAAACGGAUCGUUCAGUGUGGCUGGUGUCAUCUUCUUGGGCAUUCUCAGAAAAAGUGUUCAUUACGAAGCUGACAUAUAUUUCUAUCCGCCUCCCUUCUUUUAUGUCCAAUAGUAUUAGUUUUCAGCAGUUCCCUUGUUGGCAUUUGGCAAGGUAG
rnacentral:rRNA from 1 species